CAGCAGUAACGGAUCCCUGAGCCCGAGGCUCACGAGGCUCACGAGACCAUCUGAGAUUCGAUCCACUGUGAACACCUUCCUUAAUUUCAUUGACUUGCAAAAUGGUUUUAACUUUGCCUAAGCAGCGGGUCUUUUGGCACGUGUCUGAAUGCCCUGGCCCAGGCUGACACAUACACAGUUAAACCCGGCCCUCUCGCAGCCUGGAAAGCUUUUUCGAAUUGGUUUGACUGUGUAUGUAAAUAUGCCCGGCACAGGCUGAUUUCUCCAGGGAGACACGUGCAUCGAUAAAUCUGUACAACAUUUUAAGAUAUAUUUUUGGGAACUAUUUUUUUAACCUUGUGAAAUACACUGGAAAAGUUCAGGGAAAUGCAUUGAAAAGCAUUUUUGAAGCAAAAGGGUUAGUAUAUUUAUUACUUUUUUUUACGUAGUGCACCUAGAGGUGAGGAGCACGGCGGGGAGCUGUCGGAGGCCGAAGGGCGUCACUAGGGGAACGAAUGAGCGUUUCAACCCUGGGGCCCCGGGAUCGUAUUGAAUCCCUGGGGUCGUUGAAGAACUGCACUCCUAGUCCCUCGUGGACAUUGGCCCAGGGCACAGCUCGAGGAGUCUGUGCAGAGCUGGGAUGGGCACCGUGGCUGUAGCGAGGUGGCAGAGCCGCAGCAGAAGGCUGAGGGUAGGAGCCAUGCACUUACAGGCUGGUGACAGAUGCCUGCGAGGCUUGGAAGCCGUGGUGAGCUCUGCUGUUGUUCAAGCCCAUUACAGAGAGUCUCAGAACAGAAACCAAAGAGAAAUUCAUUCGAUAAACCUCUCUCUGUCUUGAGCUGGUGGCGAGGUCUUUCCGUGCUCAUCUCCUGUCCCCUGCAGCAAGCGGAGGCAGCACAGCGGGACUGGCCGCCCCUGGGAUCCCACCAGCAACUAAGCUGUCUCUGGGCCCACUACCUGGUCUAGUGAAGCUGUGGAGCUGUGUUGGGAGUGGAACCCUUCUUGGGCAUCUUCGCUUCUGAACACCCCGGGGGAGGAAGGCAGCGGCCGCCCGGGGUUAUGGCGUCCAGCUGCUCCACAGCCCUUCCCAAGACAGUUUGUGCAACGAAAGCGAUGAGCUAGGUCCCAGGCUGCCUGCUUUCCACCAGCCCUCUUUAUGGCCCCCAUAGAACUGCUGAACUCUGCCGUGGGACAGGCACAGCGCCCCAUUCACUUCCGCUUCCUUGGACUCUUCCAAGUGGAGUAGCCCCUUUGCCGUGAGCACUGUGGAGCCGCAGUCCCCCGCUGAUUCUGGUGUGAUGGCUGAGUCAUGGCAGGCGUUAGCCAGGCCCAGCAUGGCACCGCUGCCAGAGACCCCCUUGAGUUCAGUGCGCGGGGCUGGUGCUCUGCAGGGCGGGAGUGAUGGAGAGAGAGGAGCUCAGCUACAAAGCCUCCCCUGCUCCUAGCGCCUUGAGUGUCACAGGAGAGUGUCACAGGAGACCACUUCGAGCGCUGGUGCCAGGCUCAGUUCCCCCAGCCAGGGGCACCCUCACGUUUUAGACAAAGGGAAGGACUUUGAGGGAUUUUUUAAAGUAUUUAUAUGGUAAAGGAGGGAUUUUUGUAACUGGUUUUCAACCUUUGUUGUGGCGCUUGUUGUAACUGAAAUAAAAUACUUGUAUUGGG